UGGUGUGUGACCACAUCUAGGCCUGGUUUAAAAGAGGCUUUGUCAGCACCAGGCUUGUCACAGCCCUCAAAACCCUCUCUGGAGAUCCACAGCCAUAAAUCUGCUGCAGCCUGCUCAGGCUUUUAAGUUCAAAUAACAGCUUUUAAUGAGAAAACAUGAGAAAACAUGAGUCAAAACACUAACAGCUGCUUUUGACAAACACAACUCCUUAUCCCUUUUUACAUUUUGAUGUGGAACAUUAGAAGUGCUCGAGUGUUUCAGUCAGUUCAAUCUCUUGGCAAUGAGGGCGGAGGAAAACAAAUUGAUUUUCAAGAGCUGUGUAAGAUUAUACGACUGACUAUUGCAAGAAGAGAAAAUACAGUCCCUUAGUCCCUCACAAAUUAGGAGAUAAUUAACAAUGCUGCAGCUAUUUAGACUGGAAUGAGAUGUAGUCAGGUAGAAAAGUCAGAAAAAAGUCAAAUUUGAAAGAGACUUUUGUUUUGUUUAUAAUUUGAAAGAAAAUGAUAACUUCAGCCUUCCCGCUCCCCCCACCAAGAAAACGUGUAAAGCUUUCAAUUUAUUUUAGAUGGCACAAGGAAGGAAUCUCAUUUUAGCAAAGAUAACAGAAACAUCAAGGGUUGGAGUGGCCAGAGCUUUAGAGAGGAUUGAAUAUCUCUGUCUGGAAACGAUUCCUUUCAGAAAAGUUCCUUUGGUGCAGUGGUGAUUAGUGUCAUCCUGGGAAAAUGAUGCCUGGCUGGCAUUCCUGCCCAGAGGUUGGAGGUUGGCAUGGGGAUUUCUUUCUCUGCCGCUUCUCUAAGGGAUGUGUGCAGCUCCUCGAGGGUGGAUUAUCUGCAGGGCUGUGCCAUGGACCUUGGAAAGGCGAGAAAUUUGUGGCCAAAUGUAGAUUAUUGGAUCUGCCAUUUGUUUUAAUCGUUACCCAUUUGUGUUACGCGCGCACUGGGCUCCCAAGGGAGGCAGGACACUUUUGAAAUGUCCUUUCUGUCACGCAUUCCACUGCUUUAGUGUGUUCUGCACUGCCAGAGAAGCUCCUGGGAGCCCAAGGUGGCAGAAGGACUGAGAGCAGAGUCACCAAAGCUGGAAUCUGGGAGCUGUUAGAGGUGAUAGAGACACAUAGGAAAGGAUCCAGGAUGAAUUUCCAGCUGAUGGCAAGUGUCAGAACCAGAUUAACUUCGAGGAGCUGGAAGUCAGCUCAGCUUGGACUUCACAGUGACUCUAAAUCAUUAAAUCAGAGUGUACCUUAGCAGGAGCCUGAACACAGGUGGAUUUAGCAGGGGCUUUUUCCUGGUUUGCCUCCCCUCCCUGCUGGAAUUACCCAAACAAGGAUUCAUCUGUAGGAUGACAUCUAUCUACCUCUGCUGUCGAUUGCUGAGGGAGCAGAUGACCUCCCUGAGGACAAUUUGAAGCCCCCAAGCAGGAGGUGGCUGCUGUAACAGGACUUUUCCUGCUCCAUCCCAGAGCUGGACUGUGCAGCGGGAGCAAGAUGGGAAGUUUGCCACAGCUGCAGCCACUUCAGAGUCAGAAAAAGUCUCAAACUCAGUUUCCUUUUGCUGACAGCACUUGGAUUAAUGGGCUUCUUUUGGGGUCACCUUUGUGCAUCUUUGGCUCAUUCCAGGCUCCUCUUGGCCUGGAUCUUGUGCUGAGUUGGGCUUUUGCCACUGCUGGGCAUCAACUUUUGUGAUCAGCUGACAGGAGCUUCUCACAUUCUACAUCCCCAAUUUAAUCUUUUUUUCUUGAGCUAAAAAAGCAUUUUAAAGAAAAAUAUCUGGUCUUGGUGUCAUAAUGGCCUGCCACAAAUGAUUUACCACAAGUAGGAAAAUUUUGCUGAGGGGUUAAUUAAACUCUCCGCUUUGAAAUGAAGUCACAAAAUACAAGAGCAAUAGAGAUUUUUUUUUUAUAUACCUAUUUCAUAUUCUCUGCUCAUUCAGUUGUGCCUUUUGUAGCCUUCACACAGAUGAGGUUAAACCUGUGGCUUUUAAAUCCCCCUCAGAUUUAUGUCCCACUCAGAGCUCUGCAGGGAUCCCAGUCCAUGACUUGAAUUCCUUGCCCUUGCUCCAUCCCGUCACAUUUUCAGGAUACUCUGGAAGAAUCUCCUGCUUGUUCACAGCCAGCUGACCAAGGGGUGAAAGUCACCUCAAU